rnacentral:rRNA from 1 species
UACGGGGGGGGCAAGCGUUGUUCGGAAUUACUGGGCGUAAAGGGCUCGUAGGCGGUCAACUAAGUCCGACGUGAAAUCCCAAGGCUUAACCUUGGAACUGCGUCGGAUACUGGAUGGCUUGAAUUCGGGAGAGGGAUGCAGAAUUCCAGGUGUAGCGGUGAAAUGCGUAGAUAUCUGGAGGAAUACCGGUGGCGAAGGCGGCAUCCUGGACCGACAUUGACGCUGAUGAGCGAAAGCUAGGGGAGCAAACGGG